rnacentral:rRNA from 1 species
UUAAGUCCCGCAACGAGCGCAACCCCUAUCAUCUGUUGCCAGCAUUUAAGGUGGGGACUCAGAUGAGACUGCCGGUGACAAACCGGAGGAAGGUGGGGACGACGUCAAGUCAUCAUGGCCCUUAUGUCCUGGGCUACACACGUGCUACAAUGGCCGGUACAGAGUGAAGCGAAACCGCGAGGUGAAGCAAAACGCAGAAAGCCGGUCUCAGUACGGAUUGGAGUCUGAAACUCGACUUCAUGAAGUUGGAAUCGCUAGUAAUCGCGCAUCAGCAUGGCGCGGUGAAUACGUUCCCGGGCCUU